rnacentral:rRNA from 1 species
UACGUAGGGUGCAAGCGUUAUCCGGAAUUAUUGGGCGUAAAGAGCUCGUAGGCGGUUUGUCACGUCUGCUGUGAAAACUGGAGGCUCAACCUCCAGCCUGCAGUGGGUACGGGCAGACUAAAGUGCGGUAGGGGAGAUUGGAAUUCCUGGUGUAGCGGUGGAAUGCGCAGAUAUCAGGAGGAACACCGAUGGCGAAGGCAGAUCUCUGGGCCGUAACUGACGCUGAGGAGCGAAAGCAUGGGGAGCGAACAGG